CACUGUGUUUACCUGCUUGUUCUCUGAAAGCUUUUAGGACUUUCUUUUUAAAAAAUCUCUGAUGUCUUAAAUUUUACAUCAUGGCUUGUAGUUGGCCAGCUUUCAUAAAACAGGGAAGCUAUUGUUCACCUUGACUGGUUAUAUUGAAGUCCUUGUGAGGGGAAAAGGACCAUCAAAGAGAAGAUCCCUGAGUGCUGGUAACAAUGCAGGGCUAUUUAAAGUGGUCAUGUAUGGAUGUGAGAGUUGGACUAUAAAGAAAGCUGAGCACCGAAGAGUUGAUACUUUUGAACUGUAGUGUUGGAGAAGACUCUUGAGAGUCCCUUGGACUGCAAGGAGAUCCAACCAGUCCAUCCUAGAGGAGAUCAGUCCUGGGUGUUCAUUGGAAGGACUGAUGUUGAAGCUGAAAUUCCAAUACUUUGGCCACCUGAUGUGAAGAGUUGACUCAUUCGAAAAGACCCUGAUGCUGGGAAAGACUGAAGGCAGGAGGAGAAGGGGACGACAGAGGAUGAGAUGGUUGGAUGGCAUCACUGACUCAACGGACGUGGGUUU
ensembl:lncRNA